UACGUAGGGUGCAGGCGUUAAUCGGAAUUACUGGGCGUAAAGCGUGCGCAGGCGGUUUGCUAAGACAGGUGUGAAAUCCCCCGGGCUUAACCUGGGAACUGCGCUUGUUACUGGCAGGCUUGAGUGUGGCAGAGGGGGGGUGGAAUUCCACGUGUAGCAGUGAAAUGCGUAGAGAUGUGGAGGAACACCGAUGGCGAAGGCAGCCCCCUGGGUUAACACUGACGCUCAGGCACGAAAGCGUGGGGAGCAAACAGG
rnacentral:rRNA from 1 species